rnacentral:rRNA from 1 species
CACGUAGGGGCAAGCGUUGUCCGGAAUCAUUGGGCGUAAAGAGCGUGUAGGCGGCCAGAUAAGUCCGCUGUGAAAUCUCGAGGCUCAACUUCGAGCUGUCGGUGGAAACUGUCUGGCUAGAGUCCGGAAGAGGAGAAUGGAAUUCCUGGUGUAGCGGUGAAAUGCGCAGAUAUCAGGAAGAACACCGUGGCGAAGGCGGUCUCUGGACGGUACUGACGCUGAGACGCGAAGCGUGGGGAGCGAACAGG